UACGUAGGAUGCAAGCGUUGUUCGGAAUUACUGGGCGUAAAGAGUACGUAGGCGGUUUGGUAAGUCUGAUAUUAAAGACUGGGGCUCAACUCCAGGAGUGUAUCGGAAACUGGUAGGCUAGAGUGCGGGAGAGGAGAGUGGAAUUCCUGGUGUAGCGGUGAAAUGCGCAGAUAUCAGGAAGAACACCCGUGGCGAAGGCGGCUCUCUGGAACGCAACUGACGCUGAGACGCGAAAGCGUGGGGAGCAAACAGG
rnacentral:rRNA from 1 species